rnacentral:rRNA from 1 species
UACGUAGGGGGCUAGCGUUGUCCGGAAUCAUUGGGCGUAAAGCGCGUGUAGGCGGUUCGGUAAGUCUGCUGGUGAAAGUCGGGGGCUCAACCCUCGAAUGCCGGUGGAUACUGUCGGACUAGAGUGCGGAAGAGGCGAGUGGAAUUCCUGGUGUAGCGGUGAAAUGCGCAGAUAUCAGGAGGAACACCAAUUGCGAAGGCAGCUCGCUGGGACGUUACUGACGCUGGAGACGCGAAAGCGUGGGGAGCAAACAGG